rnacentral:rRNA from 1 species
GACGAACGCUGGCGGCGUGCUUAACACAUGCAAGUCGAACGGUAAGGCCUUCGGGUACACGAGUGGCGAACGGGUGAGUAACACGUGGGUGAUCUGCCCCCUACUCUGGGAUAAGCCUGGGAAACUGGGUCUAAUACCGGAUAUGACCUCCUUCUGCAUGGUUGGUGGUGGAAAGUUUUUUCGGUAGGGGAUGAGCCCGCGGCCUAUCAGCUUGUUGGUGGGGUAAUGGCCUACCAAGGCGACGACGGGUAGCCGGCCUGAGAGGGCGACCGGCCACACUGGGACUGAGACACGGCCCAGACUCCUACGGGAGGCAGCAGUGGGGAAUAUUGCACAAUGGGCGAAAGCCUGAUGCAGCGACGCCGCGUGGGGGAUGACGGCCUUCGGGUUGUAAACCCCUUUCAGUCGGGACGAAGCGAGAGUGACGGUACCGAUAGAAGAAGCACCGGCCAACUACGUGCCAGCCGCCGCGGUAA